CUGCCCUUGACUCUGGCAUACCCCUGGGAAACUGGGUCUAAUACUGGAUAUGACUGACUAUCGCAUGGUGGUUGGUGGAAAGCUUUUGUGGUUUUGGAUGGACUCGCGGCCUAUCAGCUUGUUGGUGGGGAAAUGGCCUACCAAGGCGACGACGGGUAGCCGGCCUGAGAGGGUGGACGGCCACACUGGGACUGAGACACGGCCCAGACUCCUACGGGAGGCAGCAGUGGGGAAUAUUGCACAAUGGGCGCAAGCCUGAUGCAGCGACGCCGCGUGAGGGAUGAAGGCCUUCGGGUUGUAAACCUCUUUCAGUAGGGAAGAAGCGAAAGUGACGGUACCUGCAGAAGAAGCGCCGGCUAACUACGUGCCAGCAGCCGCGGUAAUACGUAGGGCGCAAGCGUUAUCCGGAAUUAUUGGGCGUAAAGAGCUCGUAGGCGGUUUGUCGCGUCUGCCGUGAAAGUCCGGGGCUUAACUCCGGAUCUGCGGUGGGUACGGGCAGACUUGAGUGAUGUAGGGGAGACUGGAAUUCCUGGUGUAGCGGUGAAAUGCGCAGAUAUCAGGAGGAACACCGAUGGCGAAGGCAGGUCUCUGGGCAUUAACUGACGCUGAGGAGCGAAAGCAUGGGGAGCGAACAGGAUUAGAUACCCUGGUAGUCCAUGCCGUAAACGUUGGGCACUAGGUGUGGGGGACAUUCCACGUUUUCCGCGCCGUAGCUAACGCAUUAAUUGCCCCGCCUGGGGAGUACGGCCGCAAGGCUAAAACUCAAAGGAAUUGACGGGGGCCCGCACAAGCGGCGGAGCAUGCGGAUUAAUUCGAUGCAACGCGAAGAACCUUACCAAGGCUUGACAUGAACCGGAACGGCCAAAAAUGUGUCGGCCACUUGUGGCCGGUUUACAGGUGGUGCAUG
rnacentral:rRNA from 2 species